rnacentral:lncRNA from 1 species
CAAAUAAAGAAGUUAUAUCUGCGAACUUAAGCCAGUUUCCACUUUAAUCGUAUCGUGCCGAAACGUAGCGUAUUUCUUUGUUUCCUGAGCGGUAGUGCAUGUGGAAUUAAUGCCUUCGACACAAAAGAAAAUGCUACGACACGUUACGAUACGGUUGAAGUGGAAAGCAAGCUUUAACAUCUUGCCCACGCGAACUGUGAGGACAGUGUAGCCAGUGACAUCAUAUGAUGGAAACGCCAAUAUUUGGUGACGCAAUUUUAAUUACUUUAGGUGAUUCCCCUACUGAUAUCAAUGUAUAUGAACGGAUGGGAACACAGCAUCCGUUUGGCACGUCAUGAUUGGCGCAUUAUGUACUAGUUAAAACAUGAGCAACCGAUCUUUAUCUUCAAUGUGAAAUUGCUGUGCUGAGUGGUUAUAUUACUAUACCUGAAAUAAACAAGCAGAAACUCGACGUUUCGAGCGAAGGCCCUUCGUCAAGAGUUAGUAGCAGGGAUCGGGGAAAAUGCACGGGCUUUUAUACUAAGAGUAUGAAAGCAUCACGUGACAAAAAAUAAACCAAUUAGGUGGAUUUAAUCGUAACAAAAUGUAAACAAAAUAUGUGAAUUGCAUUACAGAAUAUAAUAUAAAACAAAAAAUAUAAAGGAAGCUAAGACAAUUAGUACAGGUAUAAUCAUGCGAUGGCGAGUACAAUUAGGGAUUAAUUGUACGAGUGAUGUUUCGAAAUUUCGCCAAAAUUGGUCGAGCCGCCGGGGCGAGUCCAAUUUGGCAAAUUUCCAAACAUCACGAGUAUUAUUAAUCCAUAAUUGUACGAGCAACAUCGCAUAAUUACUUGUUUAUUAUUAGCA